UACGUAGGGUGCAAGCGUUGUCCGGAAUUAUUGGGCGUAAAGAGCUCGUAGGCGGUCUGUCGCGUCUGCUGUGAAAACUCAGGGCUUAACCCUGAGCUUGCAGUGGGUACGGGCAGACUAGAGUGCGGUAGGGGAGACUGGAAUUCCUGGUGUAGCGGUGAAAUGCGCAGAUAUCAGGAGGAACACCCGGUGGCGAAGGCGGGGUCUCUGGGCCGAGUACUGACGCUGGAGGAGCGAAAGCGUGGGGAGCGAACAGG
rnacentral:rRNA from 1 species